GUUUACGGAUUAGCGUCCGUAGACAUUUGGUCAAUUUGAAACAAUACAGAGAUGAUCAGCAGUUCCCCUGCAUAAGGAUGAACCGUUUUACAAAGAGAUUUAAUUUGUUUUU
rfam:Kazachstania africana CBS 2517 chromosome 2, complete genome